rnacentral:rRNA from 1 species
GAUGAAUGCUAGCGGCGUGCCUAAUACAUGCAAGUCGAGCGAAUCAAAGGGAGCUUGCUCCCUGAGGUUAGCGGCGGACGGGUGAGUAACACGUGGGCAACCUGCCUAUAAGACUGGGAUAACUUCGGGAAACCGGAGCUAAUACCGGAUAAUUCAUAUCUACUCAUGUAGGUAUGCUGAAAGACGGUUUACGAUGUAACUUAUAGAUGGGCCCGCGGCGCAUUAGCUAGUUGGUGAGGUAACGGCUCACCAAGGCAACGAUGCGUAGCCGACCUGAGAGGGUGAUCGGCCACACUGGGACUGAGACACGGCCCAGACUCCUACGGGAGGCAGCAGUAGGGAAUCUUCCGCAAUGGACGAAAGUCUGACGGAGCAACGCCGCGUGAGUGAUGAAGGUUUUCGGAUCGUAAAACUCUGUUGUUAGGGAAGAAUAAGUACUAGAGUAACUGCUAGUACCUUGACGGUACCUAACCAGAAAGCCACGGCUAACUACGUGCCAGCAGCCGCGGUAA